rnacentral:rRNA from 1 species
UACGAAGGGGGCUAGCGUUGCUCGGAAUUACUGGGCGUAAAGCGUGUGUAGGUGGUUUGCUAAGUCAGGUGUGAAAUCCCUGGGCUCAACCCAGGAACUGCAUUUGAUACUGGCGGACUAGAGUGUGGUAGAGGAUGGUGGAAUUCCCGGUGUAGCGGUGAAAUGCGUAGAUAUCGGGAGGAACAUCAGUGGCGAAGGCGGCCAUCUGGACUAACACUGACACUGAGACACGAAAGCGUGGGGAGCAAACAGG